AGAGUUUGAUCCUGGCUCAGGACGAACGCUGGCGGCGUGCCUAACACAUGCAAGUCGAACGCUCUUGGGAGCAAUCUCAAGGGAGUGGCGGACGGGUGAGUAACACGUGGGUACCUACCCUGUGGUGAGGAAUACCGGCGAGAAAUCGCCGACAAUACUGCAUAGGUUUGCGAUGCAAACAAAGCUCGGGCAACUGGGCG
rnacentral:rRNA from 1 species